GUUGAUCAUGGCUCAGGAUGAACGCUAGCUACAGGCUUAACACAUGCAAGUCGAGGGCAGCAUAUCGAAGCUUGCUUGAUAGAUGGCGACCGGCGCACGGGUGAGUAACGCGUAUCCAACCUUCCCAUCACUCAGGGAUAGCCCGCCGAAAGGCGAAUUAAUACCUGAUGGUCUCCUUCGCGGACAUCUAACGAGGAGUAAAGAUUUAUUGGUGAUGGAUGGGGAUGCGUCUGAUUAGGUAGUAGGCGGGGUAACGGCCCACCUAGCCGACGAUCAGUAGGGUUCUGAGAGGAAGGUCCCCCACAUUGGAACUGAGACACGGUCCAAACUCCUACGGGAGGCAGCAGUGAGGAAUAUUGGUCAAUGGACGGAAGUCUGAACCAGCCAAGUAGCGUGCAGGAUGGCGGCCCUAUGGGUUGUAAACUGCUUUUGUGCGGGAAUAAAGUAUGGGACGUGUCCCAUUUUGCAUGUACCGCACGAAUAAGGACCGGCUAAUUCCGUGCCAGCCGCCGC
rnacentral:rRNA from 1 species